rnacentral:rRNA from 1 species
UACGUAGGGGGCUAGCGUUGUCCGGAAUCAUUGGGCGUAAAGAGCGUGUAGGCGGCCCGGUAAGUCCGCUGUGAAAGUCGGGGGCUCAACCCUCGAAUGCCGGUGGAUACUGUCGGGCUAGAGUGCGGAAGAGGCGAGUGGAAUUCCUGGUGUAGCGGUGAAAUGCGCAGAUAUCAGGAGGAACACCGAUUGCGAAGGCAGGUCUCUGGGCAUUAACUGACGCUGAGGAGCGAAAGCAUGGGGAGCGAACAGG